AUUGAACGCUGGCGGCAUGCCUUACACAUGCAAGUCGAACGGCAGCACGGGGCAACCUGGUGGCGAGUGGCGAACGGGUGAGUAAUGCAUCGGAACGUGCCAUUGAGUGGGGGAUAACGUAGCGAAAGUUGCGCUAAUACCGCAUAUUCUGUGAGCAGGAAAGCAGGGGACCGCAAGGCCUUGCGCUCUUUGAGCGGCCGAUGUCAGAUUAGCUAGUUGGUGAGGUAACGGCUUACCAAGGCGACGAUCUGUAGCGGGUCUGAGAGGAUGAUCCGCCACACUGGAACUGAGACACGGUCCAGACUCCUACGGGAGGCAGCAGUGGGGAAUUUUGGACAAUGGGCGCAAGCCUGAUCCAGCCAUGCCGCGUGAGUGAAGAAGGCCUUCGGUUGGUUAAAGGUACGUCUUUCGGUCCGGGUAACGGAAAGUACG
rnacentral:rRNA from 1 species